GAUGAACGCUGGCGGCGUGCCUAAUACAUGCAAGUCGAGCGAACAGACGAGGAGCUUGCUCCUCUGACGUUAGCGGCGGACGGGUGAGUAACACGUGGAUAACCUACCUCUAAGACUGGGAUAACUUCGGGAAACCGGAGCUAAUACCGGAUAAUAUAUUGAACCGCAUGGUUCAAUAGUGAAAGACGGUUUUGCUGUCACUUAUAGAUGGAUCCGCGUCGCAUUAGCUAGUUGGUAAGGUAACGGCUUACCAAGGCAACGAUGCGUAGCCGACCUGAGAGGGUGAUCGGCCACACUGGAACUGAGACACGGUCCAGACUCCUACGGGAGGCAGCAGUAGGGAAUCUUCCGCAAUGGGCGAAAGCCUGACGGAGCAACGCCGCGUGAGUGAUGAAGGUCUUCGGAUCGUAAAACUCUGUUAUUAGGGAAGAACAAAUGUGUAAGUAACUAUGCACGUCUUGACGGUACCUAAUCAGAAAGCCACGGCUAACUACGUG
rnacentral:rRNA from 1 species